rnacentral:pre_miRNA from 1 species
AGCCUUCUGAAUGCGUGCUGAGAUUUCAUCAGAUACCAGACCAUCAAGACCUAUGAGACUCCCAAGAUAAGUGAAGCG